rnacentral:tRNA from 1 species
GCCGGGGUGGCGGAAUUGGUAGACGCGCGGGACUCAAAAUCCCGUGGUACUAAAAUAUCGUGUGGGUUCGAUUCCCACCCUCGGCACCA